UCGAAAAUCAGGCCAUAGCCAUAGUCUGG
rnacentral:piRNA from 1 species